UGCCUCUAAGGCAUUUAUGUCAAUAAUCUUUAUUGUUUGCUUUAAAAGUAUAAAUUUAUAUAUGUUUCAGUUAUAAAUAUAGUAAAAACGUUAAAAUAGUUUGAGAAGCUUUUAUUUUGAAGGCAGACAUGCUAGCAACAUCACUUCCUUGUUUACGUUCUCUUCCUGGUUGCUCUGAGAGGGAAAACUGACAUGCUGUUCAGGCUCUGAGGCCUAUCCAUAUUCCUAAAUCUUCCACUUGGAAACAUUGUUCAGGCAACGCCCCGAGCACGAGCUAACGCUACCUGAGCUAACAGCAUGGACGAACUUGAUGACGCUACGGUGUCAACUUUAAGAGCUGCAAACAUAAGUGAAGAAAUGAUCAGCACUCUGUCUCAAGAAGACCUGCGGCACCCUUUCCCAGGCCCAGAGAACUUCUUGCGAUGAAAAGCGAAGAGAGCUCACUGUGAGCCAAAACAUGACUGGUGUUCCAGCCAUACACUUAAUGCUGUGAAGUCUCAGUGUAACUGACUAAAUGCACUGGAUUGUAAGAACUGUUUACUCCUGCAUUUCAGAGCUAAAAAGGCAUAUUCUUUUUUAUGCAGAGAAAAUAAAAUAUUUGUUUGUUAAAUGCAA